rnacentral:rRNA from 1 species
CCUACGGGUGGCUGCAGUGAGGAAUAUUGGUCAAUGGGCGCGAGCCUGAACCAGCCAAGUAGCGUGAAGGAUGAAUGCCCUACGGGUUGUAAACUUCGUUUAUAAAGGAAUAAAGUGAGGCACGUGAGCCAUUUUGUAUGUACUUUAUGAAUAAGGAGCGGCUAACUCCGUGCCAGCAUCCGCGGUAAGACGGAGGAACCGAGCGUUAUCCGGAGUUAUUGGGUUUAAAGGGAGCGUAGUUGGGUUGUUAAGUCAGUUGUGACAGUUUGCGGCUCAACCGGAAAAUUGCAAUUGAUACGGGCAGCCUUGUGUACAGUUGAGGUAGGCGGAAUUCGUGGUGUAGCGGU